AAGAGAGAGACAUGCGCGCAUAUCAAUAAGCGGAGGAAAAGAAACUAACAAGGAUUCCCUUAGUAACGGCGAGUGAAGCGGGAAGAGCUCAAAUUUGAAAUCUUCAAGGUUCUACCUUGACGAAUUGUAGUUUAAAGAAGUGUUUUCUGUUGAAGUUUUGGUAAAAGUUCUUUGGAAUAGGACAUCAUAGAGGGUGAGAAUCCCGUAUUUGACCAUUAUUUUCAGCUUUGUGAUACACUUUCAAAGAGUCGGAUUGUUUGGGAAUGCAGUCCAAAAUGGGUGGUAAAUUUCAUCUAAAGCUAAAUAUUGGCGAGAGACCGAUAGCGAACAAGUACCGUGAGGGAAAGAUGAAAAGAACUUUGAAAAGAGAGUUAAACAGUACGUGAAAUUGUCAAAAGGGAAGCGUUUGACACCAGUGUUGUUUUCUCGAAAAUCAAUUAAAAAUGGCUCGAUUUUGUAUUGUUGAGACCUUAAAAGCUCACUGUACAUUUUUCGUGUCCUUUUUAAUGCACUUUUCGUUUAACAAGUCAACAUCAGUUUCUUUUGUUGUAAAAGGGUCAUUGGAAGGUGGCUUUCUUUUCGGAGAAAGUGUUUAUAGCCUUUGGCCUCUGCAAUCCGAAGAGACUGAGGUCUGCAGCGUAGACUCUUCGGGGUUAGAUACAUUUGUGCUAAGUUAUAGCUUUUUAUAGACAACUUGUUGACUAUAAUUAGUCUUGUAGCUUACUCGCUUAUGCUAUUUUACCUACGCUUAGGAUGUUGAAGAUGUAGCACAUCAU
rnacentral:rRNA from 1 species